AGCCUGGGCUGGCGUUCCUCGCCCCGUUACUGCCCCCUCGCUCCAAAGCAGCACGUCGCAGAAGUGCCCGAAUAAGAAUCGAUAGAUUAACAGAGGCGGAAAUGGAGAUACAGAGAGUUUGCUACCUGAUCAUGUAGCUAGAGGUGGAAGACGAGGAUUUGAACUCAGGUUUCCUGAAUCUAAAUCUUGGUGAUGUUUAAUCUAAGGUGUACUACAUCCUGAGAGCUAGCUGGCAUCUUUUGCCAGAAUCCCUCUCCCUGCAUGGCUCUGGGUGUGCUCUGGCAGGAAGAGGCACGUGUGCAGGAAUCAGGCAGUGGAGGUGAGCAGUGGCCACACUCACCGUGGUGGACCUCGUUGGAUGUGGUGGCAGCGAGACGCAGAGGUGUCAGUGGCACCUGGGGGAGCUUUGCUCUCUUCGACUCCAUGUCCAGUCUCCCCCAGACACUUGUGGCAGAUGCAUGGAGGCAGCAGUCCCCUGGUGUCUCCUCCGCCAGUUCCCCCUUCCCAGUCCCACUUGGCCUCCCAGAUCCACUGGCCAAUGAGCCAUCUGACCCUCCCUCUCCCCUGUCCUGACCUUCCUUCUCAGUGGUGUAAGAUCAAA